CUUGAAAAAGGGAGUUCAAGAAGAGCUUCGAAGAAGCUUUCUUGAUGGAGGGGAGUGGCAGACGGGUGAGUAACGCGUGGGAACAUACCCUUAUCUUCGGAACAACUCCGGGAAACUGGAGCUAAUACCGAAUGUGCCCUUAGGGGGAAAGAUUUAUCGGAUAAGGAUUGGCCCGCGUUGGAUUAGCUAGUUGGUGGGGUAAAGGCCUACCAAGGCGACGAUCCAUAGCUGGUCUGAGAGGAUGAUCAGCCACAUUGGGACUGAGACACGGCCCAAACUCCUACGGGAGGCAGCAGUGGGGAAUAUUGGACAAUGGGCGCAAGCUUGAUCCAGCCAUGCCGCGUGAGUGAUGAAGGCCUUAGGGUUGUAAAGCUCUUUCACCGGAGAAGAUAAUGACGGUAUCCGGAGAAGAAGCCCCGGCUAACUUCGUGCCAGCCGCCGCAGUAAAAC
rnacentral:rRNA from 1 species